UAUAAAAGCAGUAAAAUAUUAAUAGUACCUUAAAUAAAUAAAAAGAUUUUCUGUUGCAACACAAUUUAGUAAAAGUAAAAGUUUUAAUUCUAAUACCCGAUAUAUUAAGAUCUACUAUUUAAUGUGUUCAUAAUGAGUUUAAAAUUAUUAUGAAUUUAAUAUUAGAAAUGAAAAAUUUUUCGAUUAGUUAUAGCUGGCUUUAAUUAUCUAAUUUUAUUUAAAAUAAUGAAGUUAUUUCUUUGUUCUUUAAUAAGAGAAAGUUUUAUUAAAAAAAUUUUUUAAAAAUAAAAUUUAUUAAUAAGAUUAAUAUUAUCAUUAAUACUUUAUAAUCAAAAUAUUUAUAAAAAUAUUUAAACUUUUUAAAAAAUUUUAAUAAAUUAAAGUUCUAAAAAUUAUAUUAUAUUUAUUAUUCUAAAAUUAGUAGAAUUAAAUUUUUAAUUUAUGUUUUUAUUAAUAUUAAAAAAAUUAAAAUUAAAAAUAGUAAAAAAUUUAACAAAAAUUUUUUAAAAAGUUUAAAUAUUUUUAUAAAUAUCUGCCCUAUGAAAAUUUUAAAUGGCCGCAGUAUUAUGACUGUGCUAAGGUAGCGUAAUCAUUUGUAGCUUAAUUGGUUAAUUGGAUGAUAGAUAAUUUAACUAUUUUUAUUAAAAUUUUUAAAAAUUGAAUUUGUUGUAAAAGUGAAAAAACUUUUAUAUUUAAAAAGAAGGAAAGACCCUAAAAUUUAUUCUAAAUAUAUUAGUUAAUUGGGGCAUUUAAGGCUAAAUUAAAAAUUACCUUUUUGAUCCAAAUUUAGUUUGAAAUAAGUAAAAGUUACUUUAGGGUUAACAGCGUAAUAUUUUUAUAAAGAUCUUAUUUAUAAAUAUGUUUACGACCUCGAUGUUGAAUUAUUUUACUAAAACACGCAAUAGUGUUAUUAAGUUAGUCUGUUCGACUAUUAAAUAAAUCCACGAUUUGAGUUCAGAUCGACGAAAGUCAGAUCAGUUCCUAUCUUUUAAUUUUUCAAUAAUAGAAUUAGUACGAAAGGACCAUUUUAUUUUU
rnacentral:rRNA from 1 species